CCUACGGGGGGCAGCAGUGAGGAAUAUUGGUCAAUGGACGAGAGUCUGAACCAGCCAAGUAGCGUGAAGGAUGACUGCCCUAUGGGUUGUAAACUUCUUUUAUAUGGGAAUAAAAUGUUCCACGUGUGGGAUUUUGUAUGUACCAUAUGAAUAAGGAUCGGCUAACUCCGUGCCAGCAGCCGCGUUAAUACGGAGGACCCGAGCGUUAUCCGGAUUUAUUGGGUUUAAGGGGAGCGUAGGUGGAUUGUUAAGUCAGUUGUGAAAGUUUGCGGCUCAACCGUAAAAUUGCAGUUGAAACUGGCAGUCUUGAGUACAGUAGAGGUGGGCGGAAUUCGUGGUGUAGCGGUGAAAUGCUUAGAUAUCACGAAGAACUCCGAUUGCGAAGGCAGUUCACUGGACUGCAACUGACACUGAGGCUCGAAAGUGUGGGUAUCAAACAGGAUUAGAUACCCUGGUAGUC
rnacentral:rRNA from 1 species